rnacentral:lncRNA from 1 species
GGGCAAUGAACUGCCUGAUGUGAAAUUGUAAGAAAUUUAAAAAUUGACCAGUGAUAACUUGACAUUAUGUGAGGGAGUUAAAUUUACUAACAUUACCCUCCAACCAUUGGCUAUCCCAUUCAGCCUCAAAUGAUUUGGUCCUAUCUGAAACAGAAGGCGCACUUGCAUGUAGAAAAUAUAUUGGAAUGCAGGAAAUAUUGUUGUUAUACUGUAAUCUGAAAACAAAAAUUUCCCUCAAAUAUACAUUGGGCCAUACAGUCAUGCAUAUAGUUUUGAUUGUCAGAAGUAAGCAGCAUAGUGAGUUGCAUAAUGGCCAAAGACAUAUUAGUAUAAUUAUUUUACAUAAUUAUUUUUCGUCAUUUGCCACACAUGUAAUCGGUGAAGGAUUCAGGAUUAUCCGGCAUGGAAAUAACGUUUUAAUUAAACAUAUUAUAUAAAACGGUGUUCAAUAUUCAUACUACAUGAUGGGCAUGUGGCCAAACAAACACCUUGUCCUUGACCUUGUGCUUUUUUGCUCGAAUUUACACACGCAUGAUUUUGUAUACAAAAUAUAGAUUUAAAUCCAGCAAUUCAAACCCAAAACUGAUGGAGUCAUGCAUGACAUAUAUCUAUAAUUUAUAUUUUCUCGAAAUGUUAGGUGAUUCACUGAUUCAAUGAAUUAUUGCCGUUGUUGUAACCCAGUAAACAGACACACCGCCGUUUAGACAUGUCACAUAGCUUCGUAUUGCUUCUCUUUAAUUUCCAGUCUGGCUUUGUCCAGUCUUUGAAGUCACUUUAGAAGCGCGUGUUGAAACAAGUCAUCUGUACAAGAACCCAUGAUGUUUCGAAUCGCAGCAACCUCUUCGAGCACAUUUCGUGCGACUCGAUCAUGUUUACAUCAUACGUGAAAAUUGAUACAUGUAAUACGAGACCGAAAUAUGGUUGUAUUUUGACGAAUAUUAACGAUACAACGAAAUAUAAAACCCCAAUAUGUACAAUUCCAUUAGGUGGUCUACACAUAUUCCCUUGAUGGUGGAAAAUACAUCAAAACAAAAGAAAAAUCCAAUAUUUUCUUUUCGCCAACACGUC